UUACCCGCUGAACUUAAGCAUAUCAAUAAGCGGAGGAAAAGAAACUAACAAGGAUUCCCCUAGUAACUGCGAGUGAAGCGGGAUGAGCUCAAAUUUAAAAUCUGGCAGUUUAUAAUUGUCCGAGUUGUAAUUUAGAGAAGCAUUUUCUGUGCUAGACUGUGUACAAGUCUCCUGGAAUGGAGCGUCAUAGAGGGUGAGAAUCCCGUCUUUGACACAGACUACUAGUACUUUGUGAUAUGCUCUCAAAGAGUCGAGUUGUUUGGGAAUGCAGCUCAAAAUGGGUGGUGAACUCCAUCUAAAGCUAAAUAUUGGCGAGAGACCGAUAGCGAACAAGUACCGUGAGGGAAAGAUGAAAAGCACUUUGGAAAGAGAGUGAAACAGUACGUGAAAUUGCUGAAAGGGAAACACUUAAAGUCAGUCGCAUUUACUAGAAUUCAGCCUUAUGGUGUAUUUUCUAGUUUUGAAUGGGCCAACAUCACUUUUGAUUAUUGGAAAAAGGCAUUAGAAAUGUGGCACUUUUAUAAGUGUGUUAUAGUCUUUUGUCAAAUACAGUAGUUAAGAGUGAGGAAUAUUAUAAAAGAUGUUGGCAUAAUGGCUUUAAAUGACCCGUCUUGAAACACGG
rnacentral:rRNA from 1 species